rnacentral:lncRNA from 1 species
GUAAGCAUGACCCCGGAGAUAGAGAGAGUGAGGCGAAACCAGGAGCAGCUGAGUGCGGGCAUGAACUGCGUGUCCAGGAAAUUUGGGACUGUGUUGCUGUACCUUAGCUGUGUUUGCUUAUUCAAGAGAUCUUCAUUAAGUACCCAAAUGUACUGGGCAUUGUCCUGGUCACCCAGACACAAAGAUGGGUAAAAUAUAAGGGAGAACUUCAACGGGGAACUGCAAUUUCUGAUCCACCAGAGCUGAAGAGGGCAAAAGAAAACCAGAAAAACAUCAGCAAUGUGUUUAUUACAGAGGUCAGCUGGGAAGAGCUACCACUUUAAGUGUAACUCCUGAAAUGGAAAGAGUGAAGAAGAAUCAAGAAAAUAUUAGCUCGGUAAAAUAUACCCAGGACCAUAAACAGAUGAAAGGUAGACCAAGUCUGAUUUUAGAUACACCUGCUAUGAGACAUGUUAAAGAAGCACAAAAUCAUAUUUCAAUGGUAGGGUCCAACCAGAUCAUUCUUAAAACAUGCUAAGGAAUGGGCGGAUCCAGUGCACGGAUGGCAUUACUUCACUAUUAAUCCGAUAACUAACAAAGCAUGGAAAUGUGGUUGGCUUGUCUUUUGAGGGAGGGGCAUUUCUAAUCACACUGAAAUGCAGUGGAAACAUUUAGUCUAAUAAAAUGAUUUUUCUCAGUGA